rnacentral:rRNA from 1 species
UACGGGGGGGGGCAAGCGUUGUUCGGAAUUACUGGGCGUAAAGGGCUCGUAGGUGGCCAACUAAGUCAGACGUGAAAUCCCUCGGCUUAACCGGGGAACUGCGUCUGAUACUGGAUGGCUUGAGUUUGGGAGAGGGACGCGGAAUUCCAGGUGUAGCGGUGAAAUGCGUAGAUAUCUGGAGGAAUACCGGUGGCGAAGGCGGCAUCCUGGACCGGCAUUGACGCUGAGGAGCGAAAGCUAGGGGAGCAAACGGG